AGAGUUUGAUCCUGGCUCAGGAUGAACGCUAGCGGCAGGCUUAACACAUGCAAGUCGAGGGGCAGCGCGGGGUAGCAAUACUCUGGCGGCGACCGGCGGAAGGGUGCGUAACGCGUGAGCAACAUGCCCGUGGCAGGGGGAUAAGCGAUGGAAACGUCGUCUAAGACCCCGUAACAACAGAGUUCGCAUGGAUUUUGUUUGAAAGCUUCGGCGGCCACGGAUUGGCUCGCGUCCCAUUAGGCAGUUGGCGGGGUAACGGCCCACCAAACCGACGAUGGGUAGGGGUUCUGAGAGGAAGGUCCCCCACAAUGGAACUGAGACACGGUCCAUACUCCUACGGGAGGCAGCAGUGAGGAAUAUUGGUCAAUGGGCGGAAGCCUGAACCAGCCAUGCCGCGUGCAGGAAUAAGGCCCUACGGGUCGUAAACUGCUUUUGUACGGGAGCAAUAAGGGUCACGCGUGGCCCGAUGAGAGUACCGUACGAAUAAGCAUCGGCUAACUCCGUGCCAGCAGCCGCGGUAAUACGGAGGAUGCGAGCGUUAUCCGGAUUCAUUGGGUUUAAAGGGUGCGUACGCGGCGUGCCAAGUCAGGGGUGAAAGGUUCCGGCUCAACUGGGACAGUGCUCUUUGAUACUGGUGUGCUGGAGUGCGCUUGCCGUGGGAGGAAUGAGUGGUGUAGCGGUGAAAUGCUUAGAUAUCACUCAGAACACCGAUUGCGAAGGCAUCUCACGAAGGCGUAACUGACGCUGARGCACGAAAGCGUGGAGGAUCAAAMMRAGAUUAGAUACYCUGSUAGUCCACGCCGUAAACGAWKRWKWSWMACCGCCGGUCCGAUAGGGUCGGUGGCCAAGCGAAAGCGAUAAGUCAUCCACCUGGGGAGUACGACCGCAAGGUUGAAACUCAAAGGAAUUGACGGGGGCCCACACAAGCGGAGGAACAUGUGGUUUAAUUCGGUGAUACGCGAGGAACCUUACCCGGGCUCGAACGGCAAGUGAAGAGAGACAGAGAUGUUGACGUCCUUCGGGACACUUGUCGAGGUGCUGCAUGGUUGUCGUCAGCUCGUGCCGUGAGGUGUCGGCUCAAGUGCCAUAACGAGCGCAACCCCUGCUUCCAGUUACCAGCACGUAAAGGUGGGGACUCUGGAGGGACUGCCACCGCAAGGUGAGAGGAAGGGGAGGAUGACGUCAAAUCAGCACGGCCCUUACGUCCGGGGCGACACACGUGUUACAAUGGCGGCCACAGAGGGAAGCUACCCUGCGAGGGGAUGCGGAUCUCGAAAACCCGUCUCAGUUCGGAUCGGAGUCUGCAACCCGACUCCGUGAAGCUGGAUUCGCUAGUAAUCGCGCAUCAGCCAUGGCGCGGUGAAUACGUUCCCGGGCCUUGUACACACCGCCCGUCAAGCCAUGGAAGCUUGGAGUGCCUGAAGUCCGUGACCGCAAGGAGCGGCCAAGGGUAAGACAAGUGACUGGGGCUAAGUCGUAACAAGGUAGCCGUA
rnacentral:rRNA from 1 species